rnacentral:misc_RNA from 1 species
UUUCCGUAGGUGAACCUGCGGAAGGAUCAUUGCACACACGAUGCAGCAAACUAGCGAACUGUGUUUGUCCCCCACCUACCCCAAACACGAGGGGCCGCAUCUGGAGGUGCGGCUGUCGACGGCAAGGUCCCGACCUUCGGGUCCCCGCAGUGGUUCCCGCAAGCGGGCUGAUCAUGUCGCCGUCUGGGUGUCCCGCGCGGGCUCUCGCCUUGCCUUAGGGUUGGGCGACGCGGGCAUUCUCCUCCCUUCGAUGGCGUCGUCCCCUCCUCCGGGGGAGCGCCACGCCUCGAGGGCCGUUUACAACUUUGCACCAUGUACAACACCAGUGACUGGGUAUACCUGUGUCCCGGUUCCGCUGCUGCCCUCGGGUGGCGCGGGAUUGGUCCAUAGGAACAAGAGUAAAUAAAAACAACUCUCAGCAACGGAUAUCUUGGCUCUU